rnacentral:rRNA from 1 species
GAUGAACGCUGGCGGCGUGCCUAAUACAUGCAAGUCGAGCGAACAGACGAGGAGCUUGCUCCUCUGACGUUAGCGGCGGACGGGUGAGUAACACGUGGAUAACCUACCUAUAAGACAGGGAUAACUUCGGGAAACCGGAGCUAAUACCGGAUAAUAUAUUGAACCGCAUGGUUCAAUAGUGAAAGACGGUUUUGCUGUCACUUAUAGAUGGAUCCGCGCCGCAUUAGCUAGUUGGUAAGGUAACGGCUUACCAAGGCGUGGAUGCGUAGCCGACGGGUGAGGAGGGGAAGGCACACUGGACUUGAGCCGCGGUCCGGACCACAACGGUAGGCAGCGGAGGAGUGAGGAACGUAAUGGGAGGAACGCUAGCGGGACACAGCCGAGUAGGUGGUAAAGGGCCGGCGAUCGUAGUAGUCAACUACUAGGGAGGAGGAAAUGUGUGAGUAACGAGGGAGCUCUUGAAGGUACCGAAUGAGAAAGAAACGGCUAACUACGUG